GGAAACUCAAGGAAAGUGGCGAAAAUAGCCACAGUGGAGGGUGGUUAGGCUGCCUCAGGGAAGAGAGGGCCUGGGGAGAGAAGGGACAGAAUGCCUACAAGAAAAGAGAAAUACAUAGACCCAAGAGAGAUGUGGGGAUAAAGGAUAGCCCCCCGUCACCUCCACCGGAAGGAGAUAUAAUAAUCCCAUACAGUAGAUACAGUUUAAAACAUAAACAGUGAACCAGUACUCUGACCUGAC